rnacentral:rRNA from 1 species
AAGUGGAGCGAUCCAUGAGUAAAGUGGCGACCGGGUGAGUAACACGUGACUAACCUACCUUCGAGUGGGGGAUAACCUCGGGAAACCGAGGCUAAUACCGCAUAACAUCGCAAGAUCAAAGCAGCAAUGCGCUGGAAGAGGGGGUCGCGGCUGAUUAGCUAGUUGGCGGGGUAACGGCCCACCAAGGCGAAGAUCGGUAUCCGGCCUGAGAGGGCGCACGGACACACUGGAACUGAAACACGGUCCAGACUCCUACGGGAGGCAGCAGUGGGGAAUUUUGCGCAAUGGGGGAAACCCUGACGCAGCAACGCCGCGUGGAGGAUGAAGCCCCUUGGG